rnacentral:lncRNA from 1 species
GGAAAUUUAAUAAUUAAGGAAGGUCCACAUGAUGGAACUGUGGGCCAUUUUCUAUUUCAGGCCUUAUGGUUAUUUUGCCUUUACCAUAGGGCGGUGCUUAUCACCAGCAAGACUGACCAACAAACCAGCUGUGGAGGGAAAUUGAGAGUGGGCUCCCUGCUGAAGACAGUAGACAUGGCCAUCAAUUAAUGUCCUGUUUUCUCCCGUGCAGAGCCUCUCAGGGCCAAAGCUGGAUUGUACCGGGCUGGGAAAACAAAAAAUAAAUACAUGGGGAGAGAAUGUUGAGGGGUGACUUGCUAACCAGUCAGUUGAAUUCCAGGCACAGAUUGAGUUGCUUCUGGAGUGGGCAGGGUCACUGUGAACGCCUACGUGAGCCUCUUCUGCACCACACAGCAGAAACUGAUUGAAAUUGGCAUCUUUGGGAGCUCGCUGUCAUCUCUUCACAAAACAUCCCCACGGAAAGCCAAACUUUCCCUUAGCAAGCGUGGCAACGUCCCAGAGUGCAGCCUGGAUCCCGUCAAGGAUAUCACAUGAUACUUCCUUGUCAUGUUUCCUUAGGCUCAUCUUGACUGUCCAUUUCUCAGACCUUCCUUGAUUUUGGUGACCUUGACAAUGUUGAGGAACAGUGGUCAGGAACCAAGUGAUGGCAGCUUUGUGUGGGGCUAAUCAGCUUCAUCCAAGUGCAGUCUUCAUCUGAGUGCACCCUGACAGUGCCUUGUUCAGAUCUGCUCACACGUCUC